GUGCCUACGGGACGCAGCAGUGGGGGAUAUUGCACAAUGGGGGGAACCCUGAUGCAGCGACGCCGCGUGAGCGAUGGAGUACUUCGGUAUGUAAAGCUCUGUCAGCAGGGAAGAAAAAUGACGGUACCUGACUAAGAAGCCCCGGCUAACUACGUGCCAGCAGCCGCGGUAAUACGUAGGGGGCAAGCGUUAUCCGGAUUUACUGGGUGUAAAGGGAGCGUAGACGGCUGUGCAAGUCUGAAGUGAAAUGCCGGGGCCCAACCCCGGAACUGCUUUGGAAACUGUACAGCUAGAGUGCAGGAGGG
rnacentral:rRNA from 1 species